rnacentral:rRNA from 1 species
UACGAAGGGGGCUAGCGUUGCUCGGAAUCACUGGGCGUAAAGCGCACGUAGGCGGGUUCUUAAGUCAGGGGUGAAAUCCUGGAGCUCAACUCCAGAACUGCCUUUGAUACUGGGAAUCUCGAGUCCGGGAGAGGUGAGUGGAACUGCGAGUGUAAAGGUGAAAUUCGUAGAUAUUCGCAAGAACACCAGUGGCGAAGGCGGCUCACUGGCCCGGUACUGACGCUGAGGUGCGAAAGCGUGGGGAGCAAACAGG